rnacentral:rRNA from 1 species
UACGAAGGGUGCAAACGUUGCUCGGAAUUAUUGGGCGUAAAGCGCACGUAGGCGGAUCUUUAAGUCAGAGGUGAAAUCCCAAGGCUCAACCUUGGAACUGCCUUUGAUACUGGGGAUCUUGAGUCCGGGAGAGGUGAGUGGAACUGCGAGUGUAGAGGUGAAAUUCGUAGAUAUUCGCAAGAACACCAGUGGCGAAGGCGGCUCACUGGCCCGGUACUGACGCUGAGGUGCGAAAGCGUGGGGAGCAAACAGG